CCUACGGGCGGCAGCAGUGAGGAAUAUUGGUCAAUGGGCGCGAGCCUGAACCAGCCAAGUCGCGUGAGGGAUGAAGGUUCUAUGGAUCGUAAACCUCUUUUAUAAGGGAAUAAAGUGUGGGACGUGUCCUAUUUUGUAUGUACCUUAUGAAUAAGGAUCGGCUAACUCCGUGCCAGCAGCCGCGGUAAUACGGCGGAUCCGAGCGUUAUCCGGAUUUCUUGGGUUUAAAGGGUGCGUAGGCGGCCUUUUAAGUCAGCGGUGAAAGUCUGUGGCUCAACCAUAGAAUUGCCGUUGAAACUGGGGGGCGUGAGUAUGUGUGAGGCAGGCGGAAUGCGUGGUGUAGCGGGGAAAUGCUGAGAUAUCACGCAGAACCCCGAGUGGGAAGGCAGCCUGCCAAGCCAUGACUGACGCUGAUGCACGAAAGCGUGGGGAUCAAACAGGAUUAGAUACCCGGGGAGGC
rnacentral:rRNA from 1 species